UACGUAGGGUGCGAGCGUUAACCGGAAUUACUGGGCGUAAAGCGUGCGCAGGCGGCUUUGCAAGACAGAUGUGAAAUCCCCGGGCUCAACCUGGGAACUGCAUUUGUGACUGCAAGGCUAGAGUACGGCAGAGGGGGAUGGAAUUCCGCGUGUAGCAGUGAAAUGCGUAGAUAUGCGGAGGAACACCAAUGGCGAAGGCAAUCCCCUGGGCCUGUACUGACGCUCAUGCACGAAAGCGUGGGGAGCAAACAGG
rnacentral:rRNA from 1 species